GAUGAACGCUGGCGGCGUGCUUAACACAUGCAAGUCGAACGGAAAGGCCCAAGCUUGCUUGGGUACUCGAGUGGCGAACGGGUGAGUAACACGUGGGUGAUCUGCCCUGCACUUCGGGAUAAGCCUGGGAAACUGGGUCUAAUACCGGAUAGGACCACUUCUUGGAUGUUGUGGUGGAAAGUUUUUUCGGUGUGGGAUGAGCUCGCGGCCUAUCAGCUUGUUGGUGGGGUAAUGGCCUACCAAGGCGUCGACGGGUAGCCGGCCUGAGAGGGUGUACGGCCACAUUGGGACUGAGAUACGGGCCAGACUCCGACGGGAGGCAGCAGUGGGGAAUAUUGCACAAUGGGCGCAAGCCUGAUGCAGCGACGCCGCGUGGGGGAUGACGGCCUUCGGGUUGUAAACUCCUUUCGCUAGGGACGAAGCGUUUUUGUGACGGUACCUGGAGAAGAAGCACCGGCUAACUACGUG
rnacentral:rRNA from 1 species